UGCUUGUCUCAAAGAUUAAGCCAUGCAUGUCUCAGUACUGGCCGAAAAUAAGGCGAAACCGCGAAUGGCUCAUUAAAUCAGUCAUGGUCUAUUGGAUCUUGCCAAAUCCUACUUGGAUAACUGUGGUAAUUCUAGAGCUAAUACAUGCAACUGAGCUCCGAGCCCGCCCGGAUAGACUCGUUCUGUCCGCGGUUGGGGGAAGAGCGCUUUUAUUAGAUCCGAAAAUAAACCGACCGGACUUCGGUCCGAAAACCCAAAAAUGAACGGAUGAAUCCGAAUAACUUAGCCGAGCGCUACGGUCGUUGAACCGGCGCCAUAUCCUUCGAGCGUCUGCCUUAUCAGCUCUCGAUUGUAGGUUACGCGCCUACAAUGGCUGUAACGGGUAACGGGGAAUCAGGGUUCGAUUCCGGAGAGGGAGCCUGAGAAACGGCUACCACAUCCAAGGAAGGCAGCAGGCA
rnacentral:rRNA from 1 species